GGGAAUAAAUUAAUAAAUUAAAAAUAAUAAAAAAAUUUUUAAAUUUUAGUAUAUUAUUAUUUUAAUGGGGGUUAAAGUAUAUAGAUAGAAAAAAUUAAAAAUUUUAUAAAAAAUUAGUAUUGUGAAAAAAUUUUGAAAUAUUAUUGAAAAAUAAUUUAUUAUAAAGUAAUUUUUAGUUAGUGUAUCUUGUGUAUCAGAGUUUAUUAAAUAAAUUUUUAAUAAAAAUUUCUCGAAUUUAAAAGAGAUAAUUAAUUAAAAAAGUUAUUGUAGCAUAAAUAUUUUUAAUAAUUAAUUUGAAAUGAAAUGUUAAUCGUUUUUAAAGAUAUCUAGUUUUUUUAGAAAAAAAUUUAAUUUUAAAUUUAUUUAUAAUAUAUAUAUAUAUAUAUAUAUAUAUAUAUAAAUAUUAAAUUAAUUGAUUAAUAAUUAAUUAAUAUUAAAUAAAUUUUAUGUUUUAAGGGAUAAGCUUUUUAACAAAUUUAAUAUAAUUUAUGAAUUAUUUAUUGUUUAAAAAUUAUAUAAUUUAUAUUGUUAACAAAUUAUAGUUUAUUAUAAAUAAUUUUAAAUAAAAUAAGAUUUAAUUUUAAUUUAUUUUUUUUUUAUAAAAAAAUAAUUUUUAAUUAAAUAAAAUUAGUUAUAAUGAUAAAAUUAGUAUAUUAUAAAUAUAUUAUUUAAUUUAUAAUUUUAAUAAUUAAGUAUUUUAAAGGAAUUCGGCAAAAUUAUAUACUCACUUGUUUAUCAAAAACAUGUCUUUUUGAAUUUAAUAUAAAGUCUGAUCUGCCCACUGAUUUAUUAAAGGGCUGCAGUAUAUUGACUGUACAAAGGUAGCAUAAUCAUUAGUCAUUUAAUUGAUGACUUGUAUGAAGGAUUGGAUGAAGUAUAAUCUGUCUCUGAAAUAAAUAAUAAAAUUUAAUUUUUAAAUUAAAAAGUUUAAAUAAAUUAAAAAGACGAGAAGACCCUAUAGAGCUUUAUUUAUUAUUAAUUUAUAUUUAUUUAUAAAUUUAAAAUUUUUAAUUUAAUAAUAAAUUUUAUUGGGGUGAUAGAAAAAUAUAAAUAACUUUUUUUUAAAAAGAAAACAUAUAUAAGUGAUUAAAUGAUCCAAUUUUAUUGAUUAUAAGAAAAAGUUACCUUAGGGAUAACAGCGUAAUUUAUUUUUUUAGUUCAUAUAAAAAUUUAAGUUUGCGACCUCGAUGUUGGAUUAAGAUAAAAAUUAAAUGCAAAAGUUUAAAUUUUUGAUCUGUUCGAUCAUUAAAAUCUUACAUGAUCUGAGUUCAGACCGGUGUAAGCCAGGUUGGUUUCUAUCUUUUAAUAAGAUAAUAUUUUAGUACGAAAGGAUCAAAUAUUUAAAUUAAAUUUUUAUUUUUGAAUUUUAUUAAAUAAUAUAUAUAUAUAUAUAUAUAUAUAUAAAUAAAUAAAUAACAAAUUAAAA
rnacentral:rRNA from 1 species